UUGAGAAGUCAUAAUCUACUGUUUCGUGUUAGUUUUGUUUCUAUUCAAAUAUUAUAACUCUUCUCUCUAAAGUUGUAAUUUUUUUUUUUUUUAGUUUUGGGAUUAAAAUAAUACGCAACGCAGUUUACAAUUUUUGAAUAAAAGUAAAAUUACCACGCGACAGUGGAUUGAGAGUUUCCUAACGAGAUACCAUUGUGGAGCUUAUAAUUAGAGAAAACUUCAAAUACCACCCCUGUGGUUUUGUACUUUUUUUUUUGAGAGAGAAAGGCAGCACGCUAUCUGCUUCAUUCAUUAAGAAAAUGAAAUUAGCUACAUGAAGUGAGGCAGCUAGGGCCUCAGAAAAGCGAAAAAACAGAAGGAAGGGGGCGCGAAAUUGUGUGGUGUUAAGUUCGAGACUGUAGACCAUCUGCUAGUGGGGUGUAUUGUUAGUAAGUUU
rnacentral:lncRNA from 1 species